ncrna:Bombyx mori (domestic silkworm) microRNA bmo-mir-2856 precursor (bmo-mir-2856-1)
CUGUACUAUCUUGUCUGUGGUUCGAGGGUGAGAUUGUCACAGCAGUAUAGGGGGUACAUUCGAGAACCGUAAGACAAUUAAUAUAAA